UAUAGGUUUGGUCCCAGCCUUCCUGUUAACUUUCAAUAGACUUAUACAUGCAAGCAUCCACGCCCCGGUGAGUAACGCCCUUCGAAUCACACAGGACUAAAAGGAGCAGGUAUCAAGCACACACUCUUGUAGCUCACAACGCCUUGCUUAACCACACCCCCACGGGAGACAGCAGUAACAAAAAUUAAGCCAUAAACGAAAGUUUGACUAAGCCAUAUUGACUAGGGUUGGUAAAUCUCGUGCCAGCCACCGCGGUCAUACGAUUGACCCAAGCUAACAGGAGUACGGCGUAAAGCGUGUUAAAGCAUCAUACUAAAUAGAGUUAAAUUUUAAUUAAACUGUAGAAAGCCAUAAUUAUAACAAAAAUAAAUGACGAAAGUAACCCUACAAUAGCUGAUACACCAUAGCUAAGACCCAAACUGGGAUUAGAUACCCCACUAUGCUUAGCCCUAAACACAAAUAAUUAU
rnacentral:rRNA from 1 species